rnacentral:lncRNA from 1 species
CGGGACUUCACCUUCCACUCUAGGCAGAUUCCUGGAAUGUGAGCAGAUGGACCGUUUGCAAAUGGCCCUACUUCUCUCAUUCAACUAACGUUACUGAUCAUUUUCAACGGAUUCCAUUCAGUGGAAUCUGAAUCUACUCUGCAUCUACUCUGUGUUUGGAGGCUGGAUGGGAUAUGCUCACUGGCCUUUCUUUCUGCUGAGUGGUUCACUGUGUAAACAAAUGGCUUGCAGUCUCCAGGGCACCACAGACCCCAGUGAUGCACCUGUUUUAAGUCAAACACUCUUUUUGGUAUAUUAACAAUUACAUGUAUUUUGUGCUUUGUUAAUUUCAUGUGGUUUUCUUGUUGUUGUUGUUGGGUUGGUUGUUUGUUUUGAGACAGUCUCACUCUGUCACCCAGGCCGGACUUCUGUGGCGCGAUCUCGGCUCACUGCAACCUCCACCUCCCAGAUUCAAGCGAUUCUCCUGCCUCAGCCUCCCAAGUAGCUGGGAUUACAGGCGCUCACCAACAUGCCCAGCUAAUUUUUGUGUUUUCAGUAGAGGUUUCGCCAUGUUGGCCAGGCUGGUCUCAAACUCCUGACCUCAGGUGGUCCACCUGCCUGGGAUUAUAGGCGUGAGCCACUGCUCCCAGCAAGUUUCCUUCCUUCCUUCCUUUCUUUCUUGUUUUUUUGGAGACAGAUUCUCGAUGUGUCACCCAAGCUGGAGUACAAUGGCGAGAGCUCAGCUUGCUGCAACCUCCACCUCCUGGGUUCAAAUGAUUCUCCUGCCUCAGCCUCCCGAGUAGCUGGGACUACAGGCGCGCAUCACCACACCCAGCUAAUUUUUGUAUUUUUAAUACAGACGGGGUUUCACUACGUUGACCAGGUUGGAACUCCUGACCUCAGGUGAUCCAGCCACCUCAGCCUCCCAAAGUGCUGGGAUUACAGGCAUGAGCCACCGCGCCCAGCUCAGGUUUUCUUCAGCUAUGGCAUAACACCGUGAGAUGUUGCAAUCAAUACCAAGAAAGCCCCCACGAUGCCGAGGACAUCUUACUCCUGCUGCUGGGCCUCAUCGUUCUUGUCAACAUUGGCAUCAACGUGGCAACUAUGAUGUGGCAUGGACUCCAGAACGCCUUAGACAAGAUGAUUGAUUGGGCUACUCAGAAAAGUGAAGAUGUCCCGACCCACGCAGUACUCCUCUUUCUCCUGCCACCAUUUCUCCAACCAUCACAGUAGCAGUCUUCUUCGCUGUGUUCGUCGCCACC